rnacentral:ncRNA from 1 species
UUCUUCGGGGCAGGGUGAUAUGAAUAAUCAUAGAUUCCCGACCGACGGUGAUUCUAAUCUUUUUGAUUGGAAAGUCCGUGACCCGCUUGCUGUCGCAAGCGGCUGAUCCGGUGAGAAUCCGGAACCGACAGUAUAGUCUGGAUGAGAGAAGAG